rnacentral:Y_RNA from 1 species
AGCAAGUCUGAAUACAGUGGUGGUUACAACUAACAGACCAAAACCAGCUACAGAUUUUUGUUCCUUUUUCUCUCUUGCUGCUUCACUUGGCUAGCUUUAA